UACAGAGGGUGCUAGCGUUGUUCGGAAUCAUUGGGCGUAAAGGGCGUGUAGGCGGUUUGCUAAGUCAUGUGUGAAAUCCCUCGGCUUAACCGGGGAACGACGCAUGAAACUGGCAAGCUAGAGUACCAAAGAGGGGGGUGGAAUUCCCGGUGUAGAGGUGAAAUUCGUAGAUAUCGGGAGGAACACCGGUGGCGAAGGCGGCGAUCUGGGUCGAUACUGACGCUGAGGUGCGAAAGCGUGGGGAGCAAACAGG
rnacentral:rRNA from 1 species